UACGGAGGAUGCGAGCGUUAUCCGGAUUUAUUGGGUUUAAAGGGUGCGUAGGCGGUCCGUUAAGUCAGCGGUAAAAUAGCGGGGCUCAACCCCGUCGAGCCGUUUGAACUGGCGCGCUUGAGUUCAGGCGAGGUAGGCGGAAUUCGUGGUGUAGCGGUGAAAUGCAUAGAUAUCACGAAGAACUCCGAUUGCGAAGGCAGCGUACCGGCGCCACACUGACGCUGAGGCACGAAAGCGUGGGGAUCGAACAGG
rnacentral:rRNA from 1 species